UACGUAGGGGGCAAGCGUUGUCCGGAAUCAUUGGGCGUAAAGCGCGUGUAGGCGGCCAGGUAAGUCCGUUCUGAAAGCCCGGGGCUCAACCCCGGGAGGCGGAUGGAUACUGCUUGGCUCGAGUCCGGAAGAGGCGAGUGGAAUUCCCGGUGUAGCGGUGAAAUGCGCAGAUAUCGGGAGGAACACCAAUGGCGAAGGCAGCUCGCUGGGACGGUACUGACGCUGGAGACGCGAAAGCGUGGGGAGCAAACAGG
rnacentral:rRNA from 1 species